GGGGGUGUAGCUUAUGGUGGAGCACCUGCUUAGCAUGAUCAAGGUCCUGGGUUCAAACCUCAGCACCACCA
rnacentral:tRNA from 1 species